AUGUUAUUUUGUUGUUGAUGUUGUAAAUGUGAUUUGCACUUCCCAGCCACCGUACUUUAAGCAUAAACAUGAGAACCACAAACUGAGUGCUGAAGUGGAAAAAAGUGAAUGAAUCCCAUUGGCCAGCAACAUACUUGUCCUCAGAUCCAAAGUUCAGCCACACUACUGCUGCGAACACUCAGUUAAACUGUAGGGGUCCAGUGGUUUUGCAGCAAAAUUCAGUCAGUUUAAUAUUUCACAACAACUUCAUGGAAAGGAGAACAGCUGAAGCUCUGGAGAACAGUUUAAUAGACGUUAAGUAGAUUUAACAGCUUCCAGCUGCAGGUCACUGAUCAGACACUUUGAAGACAGCCACUGCAUUUUUGAGAAUCAUCUCCAGUACACAUAUUAAAGGGACAUAAUUUGUGCCAUAGACAACAGGAUGUUCUAAGCCUUUAUUUAUGACAGGUUACUGACCGGACCUGCAGCAUGUGAUGAUCCUAACAGAUGCUGAUCUGACAUUUGAUUAGAUUCAAACAGUUGAGAGGAUUUGUUUUCCAUAUGGGUGCCAGCAGCAUGGAAAACUGUUGCAAAUGAGGCUUCAUUAUAUUAACUUAACAUUAUAUAUAUAUAUAUAUUAGGGGUGCAACGAUACACAAAAUUCACGGUUCGGUUCGGUUCGAUACUUUGGUGUCACGGUUCGAUAUUUUUUCGAUACAAAAAAAUGUUCAUGCUUUUUUAAUUUGUCAUUUAUUAAAAUUAUAAAUAUAUAUUUUAACUCAAAAGUACAGUUUUUAAAUUUAAUGUUGCUGAAACGACAAAGUAAUAAAAAAAUAAAUAUCUCAUGGAAAAAUCCCUCAUCUUUGGAAAAGAGAGUUUAUUACAGAAAAAUGGCUCUUUCCAAAAUAAAAGCUAUACUAUACGCUUCUUCUGGGGUAUACUCUCUGCAGCAUAUUAAACAUAUCAGAUCCCCAUAAGGAGAAUCAUGUGCUAACGGCUGUCUAAAUGACUCGGGUAAAGUUUGUAGCAUGCGUGCUUGUUGUUUUUGUCUGCUUCCACUUGUCUUUGCACUAGGAUGAUGUCGGAGUAAAUGUGCAGUCAUAUUCAUUGUGUUCCCACUAGUGCUGUCAGCGUUAAUCUGAAAUGACGUUAACGCCACAACAAGGCAAAUCUCCGUUAACGAGCUACCGCGGAUCGCCCCGUGCGUGGGGCUGGACGGCGUCAACACGUUAACGAGCAAACUGCGCUAACGCAGUAGUUCCCAACCAUGUAAUUGAGCAUUGCGUGGCACAUCCGACAUGCUGUUUUACUUUUGUCCAUGAUGCGCUUACCUUCAGGGUCAUACUUCACAUGAAGACCAAAAUAGUUCCAAAGGCCAGAUCUGAAUGAGGGUGGGGGAGGUUCAAUUUGCCAUGUUGCAAUGAGCUAAGCUUCUGUCUUGCUAGCUUGCGCUGUGCUCAGUGGAUCUGCGCUCGACAGUGCAGCCUAGGCGGAGUAGUCGAACGCAGAUCCACAGCAUCGUCAGAAGAAAAGUUUUGUAUUGUUCGAUACACAUGCGUACCGAACCGAAAGCACUGUAUCGAACGGUUCAAUAUCGAUACGAGUAUCGUUGCACCCCUAAUAUAUAUAUAUAUAUAUAUAUAUAUAUUAACAUUAUAUUAACAUAUAAUGUUAAUAUAUUAACAUACACAAGAAAUUGUGUAUGUUACCUAAUGUCCACCUACUGUUACUCAUUUAUAUUAAGAUUUAAACAUCUAGUCGGUAUUGGUAUGGCGAGUAACCUUCAGUAAUAGUAAUAAAUCACAUUCAUGUAGUUGUAAAAAGCAUGAUAAUAUAUUAUGUAAUCCAAAGUAUUAAGAAUACGUUACUCUCAUUGAGUAACGUAACGGAAUACGUUACAAAAUACAUUUUGGGGCAUGUAUUCUGUAAUCUGUAGUGGAAUACAUUUUAAAAGUAACCUAAAAGUAAUAUAAGGCUUAUAUGAUUUACUCAUGAAAGUGGCCACGUUUUCAUUACUUUCAUAUAUUGUUUUUGUCACGGAUCCGGCUCUGGGGACUCGGGGUCCGUGGGCAGUGGGGACUAUGACUAUUUUUGUUAUUAGUAUUAUCAUUAUUAUUAUUAUUAUUAUUAUUAUUGUUAUUAUUUUUGUCAUUACUAUUAUUAUUUGGUGUGUUCUCUGCACUGCCCCUGUGCGCAUCUGUUUGUAGGCAGGUAUGUGUGUGUGUGUUGCCUUUCUUCUGUGGCCAAGUUACAGGCACCUUCAGCCCUGGGGGCGUGGCCUGACUUGAGGGCUGGCCACACCCGAGGUCCUUGCCGCACACCUGCUCCUCAUCUGGGCUCGUCGGGGAAGCUAUUUAGAUGAGCGAUGGAGCUUCCACCGACGCUGGAUUAUUGCGGUUGACUACACGAGGAGUGUGGGACGAGAAGGAGCAGUGAGCACGAGGAGUGCAGGGACACUGGGGCAGAGAGCACUACACGGAGACUUUUGGGAAGAAGACACUACACGGGAGUCUGGGAAACUGGGGAUUUACUGUUGUUUACUUCACCACCUUGUAAAUAAACACUGCUGCACUGUA